AACGAACGCUGGCGGCAGGCCUAACACAUGCAAGUCGAACGAAGUCUUCGGACUUAGUGGCGGACGGGUGAGUAACACGUGGGAACGUGCCUUUAGGUUCGGAAUAACUCAGGGAAACUUGUGCUAAUACCGAAUGUGCCCUUCGGGGGAAAGAUUUAUCGCCUUUAGAGCGGCCCGCGUCUGAUUAGCUAGUUGGUGAGGUAAAGGCUCACCAAGGCGACGAUCAGUAGCUGGUCUGAGAGGAUGAUCAGCCACAUUGGGACUGAGACACGGCCCAAACUCCUACGGGAGGCAGCAGUGGGGAAUCUUGCGCAAUGGGCGAAAGCCUGACGCAGCCAUGCCGCGUGAAUGAUGAAGGCCUUAGGGUUGUGAAGCUCUUUCACCGGAGAAGAUAAUGACGGUAUCCGGAGAAGAAGCCCCGGCUAACUUCGUGCCAGCCGCCGCGGUAAUAC
rnacentral:rRNA from 1 species